ensembl:lncRNA
GGUUAAUAGACAGGUAUAUAGGCCCUGGGUUAAUAGACAGGUAUAUAGCCCCUGGGUUAAUAGACAGGUAUAUAGCCCCUGAGUUAAUAGACAGGUAUAUAGGCCCUGGGUUAAUAGACAGGUAUAUAGCCCCUGGGUUAAUAGACAGGUACAGUGCCUUGCGAAAGUAUUCGGCCCCCUUGAACUUUGCCUCCUUUUGCCACAUUUCAGGCUUCAAACAUAAAGAUAUAAAACUGUAUUUUUUUGUGAAGAAUCAACAACAAGUGGGACACAAUCAUGGAACGACAUUUAUUGGAUAUUUUAAACUUUCAUAAGAGAGAUGUGUUUUGGAGUUGACAUCAAAGAGAGAUGUGUUUUGGAGUUGACAUCAAAGAGAGAUGUGUUUUGGAGUUGACAUCAAAGAGAGAUGUGUUUUGGAGUUGACAUCAAAGAGAGAUGUGUUUUGGAGUUGACGUCAUAAGAGAGAUGUGUUUUGGAGUUGACAUCAUAAGCAG